AGAGUUUGAUCCUGGCUCAGGAUGAACGCUAGCUACAGGCUUAACACAUGCAAGUCGAGGGGCAGCAUGGAAGAAGCUUGCUUCUUCUGAUGGCGACCGGCGCACGGGUGCGUAACGCGUAUCAAACCUGCCUCAUACUCGGGGAUAGCCUUGCGAAAGUAAGAUUAAUACCCGAUGUUGUUAUGUUACCGCAUGGUGAUAUAACCAAAGAUUUAUCGGUAUGAGAUGGUGAUGCGUCCGAUUAGGUAGUAGGCGGGGUAACGGCCCACCUAGCCAUCGAUCGGUAGGGGUUCUGAGAGGAAGGUCCCCCACACUGGAACUGAGACACGGUCCAGACUCCUACGGGAGGCAGCAGUGAGGAAUAUUGGUCAAUGGACGGAAGUCUGAACCAGCCAAGUAGCGUGCAGGAUGACGGCCCUAUGGGUUGUAAACUGCUUUUGUAUGGGGAUAAAGUUAGGGACGUGUCCCUAUUUGCAGGUACCAUACGAAUAAGGACCGGCUAAUUCCGUGCCAGCAGCCGCGGUAAUACGGAAGGUCCAGGCGUUAUCCGGAUUUAUUGGGUUUAAAGGGAGCGUAGGCGGAUUAUUAAGUCAGUGGUGAAAGACGGUGGCUCAACCAUCGUUAGCCAUUGAAACUGGUAGUCUUGAGUGCAGACAGGGAUGCUGGAACUCGUGGUGUAGCGGUGAAAUGCUUAGAUAUCACGAUGAACUCCGAUCGCGAAGGCAGGUGUCCGGGCUGCAACUGACGCUGAGGCUCGAAAGUGUGGGUAUCAAACAGGAUUAGAUACCCUGGUAGUCCACACAGUAAACGAUGUAUACUCGCGGUUUGCGAUAGACAGUAAGCCGCCAAGCGAAAGCAUUAAGUAUACCACCUGGGGAGUACGCCGGCAACGGUGAAACUCAAAGGAAUUGACGGGGGCCCG
rnacentral:rRNA from 1 species